CCUACGGGUGGCAGCAGUGGGGGAUAUUGCACAAUGGGGGGAACCCUGAUGCAGCGACGCCGCGUGUGGGAAGACGGUCCUCUGGAUUGUAAACCACUGUCCCCAGGGAAGAACGGUCACUGUGCUAAUCAGCAGUGAAUUGACGGUACCUGCAAAGGAAGCACCGGCUAACUCCGUGCCAGCAGCCGCGGUAAUACGGAGGGUGCGAGCGUUAAUCGGAAUUACUGGGCGUAAAGCGCUCGUAGGCGGUAUGUCAAGUCAAGGGUGAAAUCCCCGCGCUCAACGUGGGAACUGCCUUUGAAACUGGCAAACUGGAGUGUGUGAGAGGAUAGUGGAAUUCCAGGUGUAGGAGUGACAUCCGUAGAUAUCUGGAGGAACAUCAGUGGCGAAGGCGACUAUCUGGCACAUAACUGACGCUGAGGAGCGAAAGUGUGGGUAGCAAACAGGAUUAGAUACCCGAGUAGUC
rnacentral:rRNA from 1 species